AUUGAACGCUGGCGGCAUGCUUUACACAUGCAAGUCGAACGGUAACAGGCCGCAAGGUGCUGACGAGUGGCGAACGGGUGAGUAAUGCAUCGGAACGUGCCCAGUCGUGGGGGAUAACGCAGCGAAAGCUGCGCUAAUACCGCAUACGAUCUAUGGAUGAAAGCGGGGGACCGUAAGGCCUCGCGCGAUUGGAGCGGCCGAUGUCAGAUUAGGUAGUUGGUGGGGUAAAGGCUCACCAAGCCAACGAUCUGUAGCUGGUCUGAGAGGACGACCAGCCACACUGGGACUGAGACACGGCCCAGACUCCUACGGGAGGCAGCAGUGGGGAAUUUUGGACAAUGGGCGCAAGCCUGAUCCAGCAAUGCCGCGUGCAGGAAGAAGGCCUUCGGGUUGUAAACUGCUUUUGUACGGAACGAAAAGGCUCUGGAUAAUACCUGGGGCUCAUGACGGUACCGUAAGAAUAAGCACCGGCUAACUACGUGCCAGCCGCCGCGGUAAUAC
rnacentral:rRNA from 1 species